rnacentral:rRNA from 1 species
UACAGAGGUGCCAAGCGUUGUUCGGAUUCAUUGGGCGUAAAGGGUGCGUAGGUGGCGCUGUAAGUCGGGUGUGAAAUUUCGGAGCUUAACUCCGAAACUGCAUUCGAUACUGCGGUGCUUGAGGACUGGAGAGGAGACUGGAAUUCAUGGUGUAGCAGUGAAAUGCGUAGAGAUCAUGAGGAAGACCAGUGGCGAAGGCGGGUCUCUGGACAGUUCCUGACACUGAGGCACGAAGGCCAGGGGAGCAAACGGG